rnacentral:lncRNA from 1 species
GGUUACUGAUGAGAAUCAUUUGGGUGCAGCCAAGUGGCCUCCCCGCAAAAAGGAUGGUGGCAAAGAUGGGGACAUAGAUAUAAAGAUUGAGAAGCAGAAAAUAGACGGUGGGAAAUGUCGACUCUAUAGAGGACGCAGAUCCAGGAAGCAGGAUUUGACAUACUAACAAACGAGGAGAGAACCCUGACAGAGGCAGAAAUGCAAGUGUUCUAUUCGCACAGAGCCAGAGAGGUCAGCUGAUCUGCUUCUGUUGGUCCAUCUCAUUCUCUCUUCUCUCCUCCUCCAAUGCUCUGGUGUUAGGUUGAUAGAAGCUCAGGGGAAUAACAAGAACAUGCAGGUGGGUGGGUAAUGAAUUUGCACUCCGAAUAUGAUCAGGGCCUGUAGCUCACAAGUACCGAGGCUGCAAGGAAACUGUGUUAACAGCCAGCAAUGGAAUAAAGAUGUCUAUUCGAAGGAUGCUUCACAACUCCCAGAACUGAUGACAGGGAAUGAAAAGGGUUAAUGAGAGUGCUUGGAGAGAAGAGGAACCAAGAAAAUUCUAGGGCCCACAGAAGCCAAAGCCUUAGGCAAACCAUUCAAGUUGUCGCUACCUACCACUUAAGGUCCACUUGCUUUUUCUGCUUGCUUAUGAUUAUGAUUUGCCUACUUACGAUUUGGGGAGAAUGGCCGAUGGCUCUUAGGCCAUCAUCCCGCUUCCUAGGUCAGAGGUGUGACAGUUGCUAAGCGUCACGGUUGUGAAAUGAACAAAUUGAAGAGGGGUCUUCCCCGAAGGAAACUGGAAGCAUUGGUGUUGAAGGAGAAGGGCUGCAGGGUAUGGGGAGGAGAAGUGCCAUCUACACUGUGCCCUUGGAGACCCAACACCCACGUAUUACAUAUCCAAACAUAUCAUUCUUUUAGCAUGCCACUACCCAACUUAACUCAUGUUCCACCAUGGCUCACCUUCCUGGGGUCCUGGGGUGUGGCUGGUCAUCACCACAGCAGGCAGAGGUGGUCGGAUCAUGGCUGAGUGUCCACGAGCUCACAAGGCUGCUUACUGACUGUCCCUUCCAGUCCGUGGGUAGUCUGGGUGUGCAGGUCUGUUUCAGGUCUCCGUAGCUCCCACCCAAGGUCACCAUUUCCUCACCCGUGUCUAGGAGGCAUUUGAGAAGCUAGUACACCAUAUGUGUAGUGGACCCAGCCACCACCUGAUCCUCACCAAGACCGAGGGCACCGAGGACGUAGUCACUGCUUGGCAAAACUUCCUGGGACCUUGUGACCCUGAUGUGGCCAGGAGGGAACAACCCGAAAGGUGACAACUUUCACCUGUGAUCCUUUCAGCCAUCGCAAGCUUCAUUUAGUGUUUGGUUCAGAAUUGUAGGUGAUGCUGUCAGCUCUCUGGUGGCCAGGAGGUGGCCUUUCUAUAUAUCUGGGAAGUUUUUGACAUCUUCCUACUCUGAGUUUCUCAGACUCCCCAAUGUGUGAUCCCCUGCCCCCAUGCUUUCUAAAGGCUGCUGCCGAGGUUGGCUCA